UGAAGUUUCCUCUAAUUUUUUAACUUCUUCGUCAACCCUGAGUAUUACUCUAUACCUUGCCUCAACUUUUUCAAUUUCUUCAAAAUAUUAAGGAACUUCAUCAAAUUUCAAAGUGAUUCUAAGAGAUUCAUCCUCUGUCGGAUUAUGAAUUGUUCUAAAUGAAUUUCGAAGAGAAUAUAACCGAUAUGUAUAAGAGGUUCUUAAACUUGAUAAAUGAUCUUAGAGGACUUGGAAAAAAGUUUGAGAUCAUUGAGCUUAUGAAGAAGAUUCUUUAAUCGUUGUUGGAAUCAUAGAGCAUGAAAGUGACCGCUAUCGAAGAAUCAAAAGACUUGAGCAAAAUGGGCAUGGAUGAACUCUUUGGAAGCCUAUUGGCAUUUGAGAUGAAGAAAAAGCCCAAGGAAGAGGAGACUAAGACAAAAAAGAACAUGUAAGUCUUCUUACAAGGAGAUUUAACAAAUUACUUUCAAGAAGUGAUGAUGAAAUUACAUGCUAUGAAUGCAAGAGGUCCAGUCACAUCCAACAAAAGUGACCUUAAAUCAUGAAGAGGAGAAAGAAGAAGAAAUUCAAAAAGAAAGUGUUUGCAUCUACUUGGAGCUGGAGUGAUAAUUCUAGUGAUGAAAGUGAGUCAAAGCAUGAGAGAGCCGAUCUAUGCUUCAUGGCCAUGAAUGAAUCAGGGGAAAAAGGUAACAACUCUAACUCUUACUCUUUUAAUCAAUUGCAAGAAGUAUUUGAUUGUUUAAUCGAUGAAUAUAAAUGCAUGUGUAAAAAUAAAUCUGUGAGAAAGCAAUUGACAUGCAUUAAGAAUGAUUAUGAAAAUUUCAUUAGUGAGCAUGCUAAAAUAAAGAAAGAACUUGACUUAGUUAAAAAUAAAAAGAUUUUAACAUCAAAUGAGUUGAACAAACUUAGAAGUGAAAAUGAUGCAUUACAUGUGAAAAUAUCUAAUGCAAGUGAGAUUUUGGAUAAAUUCAAAAUAGGCACAAAAAGUUAGAUGAGAUGCUUGCAUCCCAAAGAUGUGAAUUAAAUAAGGAAGGCCUAGAAUGUAAUAGAAAUAAUCUUUUUGUUAAAAUAUAUAGGCAAUUGAAAAUAAUCAUUUAUUGUAAUUAAAAUGCAAGUUUUGUGCCUUUAUUGGUUAUAUUGUCAGAAGAUAUUCAAUUAGGAAUGACAAAUCAUUUAAAGUAAAAAGGGUUUGGGUUCCUAAAGAGAUAUUGAAGACUAACCUUGAUGGACCCAAAACCAUUUGGCCACCAAAGAAAACUUGAAUUUCUUUGUAGGUGUGUCUUAUAGCAUUGGAAUAGUUAUGCAAGGAACAAAUCUGGAUAAUGGAGAUAGGAGCACCAAAGCAUUUUGAAAAAUAAAAUUUUUCAAUUUGAGAGCUUAGAAUGUCAAGACAGACUCAAGAAAAUCCACCAAAGUGGUUAGAGGUCAUUACCAUAGCAAAUGAUCAGAGGACUGUUUAAAUUCUCAGCUUUUUCAUAACAAACAGGGAGGAUGUUAGAAACAGUGCAGUAUUGGUUUUCUUCAAUAGUGUGACGGAUAAUAAAACAAGGGCCAAAAGACUUAUUCCCACCCAAGGUAU